rnacentral:rRNA from 1 species
UACGUAGGGUGCGAGCGUUUGUCCGGAUUUAUUGGGCGUAAAGAGCUCGUAGGCGGUUUGUCGCGUCGGCCGUGAAAUCUCCACGCUUAACGUGGAGCGUGCGGUCGAUACGGGCAGACUUGAGUUCGGUAGGGGGAGACUGGAAUUCCUGGUGUAGCGGUGAAAUGCGCAGAUAUCAGGAGGAACACCGGUGGUGAAGGCGGGUCUCUGGGCCGAUACUGACGCUGAGGAGCGAAAGCGUGGGGAGCGAACAGG